rnacentral:rRNA from 1 species
AACGAACGCUGGCGGCAUGCCUAACACAUGCAAGUCGAACGAGACCUUCGGGAAUAGUGGCGCACGGGUGCUUAACGCGUGGGAACCUGCCAUUAGGUUCGGAAUAACUCCCCGAAAGGGGGGCUAAUACCGGAAAAGAUCUCCAGACCAACGAAUGAUCGGCUUUGGGUGGGCGCGCGUUGGAUUAGCUAGUUGGUAGGGUAAAGGCCUAGCAAGGCGAGGAGCCAUAGCUGGUCUGGGUGGAUGAUCCGGCACACUGGGACAGAGACCCGGCCCAGACUCUUAGGGAUGGCAGCAGUGGUGAAUAUUGAACGACGGGCGAAAGCCGGCUGCAGCAAUGUCGCGUGAGUGAUGAAGGCCUUAGGGAUGUACUGCUCGUUUAUCCGGGAUGAUAAUGACGGUACCGGAAGAAUAAGCCCCGGCUAACUCCGUG